rnacentral:rRNA from 1 species
AACGCGAAGAACCUUACCUACACUUGACAUGUCAGAGAGAUCGCAGAGAUGUGAUUGUGCCUUCGGGAAUCUGAACACAGGUGCUGCAUGGCUGUCGUCAGCUCGUGUCGUGAGAUGUUGGGUUAAGUCCCGUAACGAGCGCAACCCUUGCCCUUAGUUACCAGCACGUGAUGGUGGGGACUCUAGGGGGACCGCCGGUGAUAAACCGGAGGAAGGUGGGGAUGACGUCAAGUCAUCAUGGCCUUUAUGUGUAGGGCUACACACGUACUACAAUGGACGAUACAAAGGGAAGCUAGACUGCGAAGUUAUGCAAAACUCAAAAAAUCGUCCUAAGUUCGGAUUGGAGUCUGCAACUCGACUCCAUGAAGCUGGAAUCGCUAGUAAUCGCGGAUCAGAAUGCCGCGGUGAAUACGUUCCCGGGCCUUGUACACACCGAUAGC